rnacentral:rRNA from 1 species
AUGAGGAGGGUCGGCGCUUGGCGCAUACCCGCGCCCCCGACCGUGGCAGCGUCCUCGCGGGGCCAGGCUUCCCGUCCGCGCCGCGACGCCGCCGGCAAGGAGGCCUGGGCUCGGACAGCCUCCGCGGCGUCGAGUGCGCCGGUGAGGUGUCUGGGAACCGCGUGGCGGGGAACUGGCGCUGCUUCUGGUUGUGGGUUCCGGCGACGCCAAGCCGUACAUCUGAGCCGCCGCCUCCAAUUUGUUUCCUCCAUGUUUCAGCUCCAGGUGUCACGUGUGUCCUUCAUCGGCUAUCCCUCCUUACGGUUGUUGCCGCGUCCGCCUGCUGCGGGUCCUCCGUGUUCGUGA